AGUGAACGCUGGCGGUAGGCCUAACACGUGCAAGUCGAACGGCAGCACAGUAAGAGCUUGCUCUUACGGGUGGCGAGUGGCGGACGGGUGAGGAAUACAUCGGAAUCUACUUUUUCGUGGGGGAUAGCGUAGGGAAACUUACGCUAAUACCGCAUACGACCUACGGGUGAAAGCAGGGGAUCUUCGGACCUUGCGCGAUUGAAUGAGCCGAUGUCGGAUUAGCUAGUUGGCGGGGUAAAGGCCCACCAAGGCGACGAUCCGUAGCUGGUCUGAGAGGAUGAUCAGCCACACUGGAACUGAGACACGGUCCAGACUCCUACGGGAGGCAGCAGUGGGGAAUAUUGGACAAUGGGCGCAAGCCUGAUCCAGCCAUACCGCGUGGGUGAAGAAGGCCUUCGGGUUGUAAAGCCCUUUUGUUGGGAAAGAAAAGCAGCAGGUUAAUACCCCGCUGUUCUGACGGUACCCAAAGAAUAAGCACCGGCUAACUUCGCG
rnacentral:rRNA from 1 species